rnacentral:lncRNA from 1 species
UCUAGUUCUCAGCACCUCCUCUACUGGCAAGCUUUUUAGCAACUUCUUCAUCAGUCAGCGGUAAAUAAUAGAUACGGGGAGCGGCUUUGGUCUUUCUGAAGAUGUCAUCCAAAGUAAUAACAGGGGGGUCAUUUUUAUCAGCAACAGGUGGAACCAACUUCUCUUUUAUUGGUGGCGCAGUAGGAGGAGCAGGUGGUGCCUGGCGCGUGAGUGGAUGUUCUGACUCAACCUGUUGUUUGCGACCCUGCUGCCAAGCAGGUGGAGCCAACCUCUCUUUUAUUGGUAGCGCAGUAGGAGGAGCAGGUGGUGGCUGGCGCAUUAGUGGAUGUUCUGACUCAACCUGCUGUUUGCGACCCUGCUGCCAAGCAGGUGGUGCUUGAACAGAGGAUGAAGCUGGAGGCACUGCAGGACUGCGAUUUGUCGCUGGAGUAGCAGGCUCCCGUCCGUCUAUCUUGGUUUGCACCUGUUGGGGAGCAACAAAAUCUGCAACCAGGAGACGACCUCCUUUUGGUGGCC